UUGGUACAUUCCGUCCCAAAAUUCUCGUCUUCAAUUUGUUUACAUAAGGAUGUAUCUAUUCAUAUUUUAGUGUUAGAUACAUCCGUAUCUAGAUAAAUCUAAGACAAGAAUUUUAGGACGGAGGAAGUAUUUG
rfam:Triticum aestivum genome assembly, contig: Triticum_aestivum_CS42_TGACv1_scaffold_049583_1BS